UGGGGAAUUUUGGACAAUGGGCGAAAGCCUGAUCCAGCAAUGCCGCGUGUGUGAAGAAGGCCUUCGGGUUGUAAAGCACUUUUGUCCGGAAAGAAAUCCUUGGCUCUAAUACAGUCGGGGGAUGACGGUACCGGAAGAAUAAGCACCGGCUAACUACGUGCCAGCAGCCGCGGUAAUACGUAGGGUGCAAGCGUUAAUCGGAAUUACUGGGCGUAAAGCGUGCGCAGGCGGUUUGCUAAGACCGAUGUGAAAUCCCCGGGCUCAACCUGGGAACUGCAUUGGUGACUGGCAGGCUAGAGUAUGGCAGAGGGGGGUAGAAUUCCACGUGUAGCAGUGAAAUGCGUAGAGAUGUGGAGGAAUACCGAUGGCGAAGGCAGCCCCCUGGGCCAAAUACUGACGCUCAUGCACGAAAGCGUGGGGAGCAAAACAGGAUUAGAUACCCUGGUAGUCCACGCCCUAAAACGAUGUCAACUAGGUUGUUGGGGACUUCAUUUCCUUAGUAACGUAGCUAACGCGUGAAGUUGACCGCCUGGGGAGUACGGUCGCAAGAUUAAAACUCAAAUGAAUUGACGGGUCAUA
rnacentral:rRNA from 1 species